UACAAUAAAGACUAGUGUUAUUCAUCUUUAUUAGGUUUAAAGGGUUCCUAGACAGUUUGUAUAUAUAGUUAAUAAAUAAUACGAUAGUUUAAAUAUUUUAUUUAUCAUUAUUUUACUACAAUUUACAAACUAGAGUUUGAAGGAAGAGAUUAUUUAGUACUUAAAGUGGAGUGAUAGAAUACUACGAUACUUUCGGGACUGAUAAAGGUGCAGACAAUACUCUAUAUCAACUGACGUCGAGGAACGAAGGCUUGGAGAUCGAAUAGG
rnacentral:rRNA from 1 species